rnacentral:rRNA from 1 species
UACGUAGGGCGCGAGCGUUGUCCGGAAUUAUUGGGCGUAAAGAGCUCGUAGGCGGCCUGUUGCGUCCGCUGUGAAAUCCCAGGGCUCAACCCUGGGCGUGCAGUGGAUACGGGCAGUCUGGAGGCGGGCAGGGGAGAACGGAAUUCCCGGUGUAGCGGUGAAAUGCGCAGAUAUCGGGAGGAACACCAGUGGCGAAGGCGGCCUGCUGGGCUGUUGCUGACGCUGAGGCGCGACAGCGUGGGGAGCAAACAGG